GUGAUCGCUUUGGCAGCACACAUUUUAAGAUUGGAAUGAUACAGAGAAGAUUACCGUGGGCCCUGCCCAAGGAUGACAUGCUAAGGUUCAGUAAGGAAAAGAAAUACC
ensembl:snRNA U6 U6 spliceosomal RNA